UUUGUCACUUGUGUCGGUUGUCAUUGCGCGAAUUUUCGGUAGUGAUUUUUCAGUGAUAUUCCUAUGUUUGAUUUGAGGAUAUCGUUUUGGAAGUCAUUUUGCUCACGUGUAUUCCUCAGCGUUGAUUCGCCAACAUUCGAGAAGGCGAUGAACGAGGAUGGAAAUCUUCACCCUACGCAUCAGAGCUGUUCCUGACCUUGCAGAUCAUCGCUUCUUCACGGUAAGAUCUC